rnacentral:lncRNA from 1 species
ACAAAACAUCAAGCCAACAGUUCAGGACUAGUCAUUCAAAUGGACUAAAGGUGGGGGAGAAAAAAUAAGAGUGGAUAAAAGAAAGAAAGAAAACAGAGAAAGGUGGGAAAAAAAAAACAAAGGAAGGAAGAGAGAAAAGAGAAUGAGAGGAAGAGAAGGAAGGGGAAAAACAAGAUUGACUUUACAGUAUGAGAUAUACUAUUAUAUAUUGUAGUAUGAUGCCUCUGGCUUCCCUCUAUCACACGUCUUCUUUUCGAGUAAAGGUUUUUCAUAAAUGUGAGCGUGGAAGAAGAAACCAGAUGGUGUCAGAAGCGGAUCCGAAGUGGAACUUUUAGUGACCCUCAGGAGCACUGAAUGAACAUGCAAGGAACCUGCAGGACCCACUUGUGUCCAUUGAUCUCUGGGAGCAGCUGGGAUAAGCUCCUUUUCGGAUUUCAGAGCUCCAUGGACUUGUGUCUUGAGAUCCCUGAGUUUCUUUGAGCAAAUUUCUGAUCCAAAAUGGGUUUGGCAUCAUGGCAGAAACAGGACUGGGUCCACGAAUGGAUUUGAUCCAGGAAUGAACUGGCUUGGAUCCAGUCAGAGGU